GAGCUGUUGGUCUGAAUGGCCUGUUUCAGUGUUAUAAAUUCUCAGUAAUUCUGUUUAAAAGAUAAGUGAGACAAAUUUACUUUGCAAAUAAACAGAGAAAGGAAUAAGCGUGACCUCGUAUUCAGAGAAAUUCCAGAAUCAAAUUCCUACUUUUUCAAAACUGCAACAUGAGGACACACUUCCUGGGGCCAAACAUCCUGUGUGAGGAACACCAGUCGGGAUACAAUUCUACCCACACCAGACACUGGACCAGAUGUGCCUGCGGACAUACUGCACUCUUAUCUCUGCAACCAUCUCAGAACAUACUUUUUGUUUUUCUUUCUUCUCGUGGAAAGUCCGGUCUCCUCCCUGAUGAGAAGAAGGGUGUCAGACUAGUCUCACACUGUGCAGAUCAGUGCAUCUUUAACCCCUUCCAAUGACACCAUGAACGCAGAUCAGCUCCAGACUCGACUACUGCAGCGUCACCCAUGCUGGUCUCCUGAUCUCCUGAUCAGUCCGCUCAUCCAAAACUCUGCUGUCGGUAUUCUAACUUGCACCAAGUCCUG